AAACGUGAUUUUUAAAAAAUGUUUAUCUUUGUGUUUCGAUUUAAAAAUUAAGAAUAGAAAACCUCUCGAAAUUUUAUUACGGGAGUCACUUCACGGUGAAAUGACAACCGUAAUAGGCACGGUGAAAGUGAUUCCCAUUUGAUUUGCACGCGUCUUUUUUCACCGUGAGAUUUCUUCACUUCGUGCUCACCGUGAGGUGACAUCCGUAAUAAGCCCCUAGGUCCUGAAUCUACUCUUCAUCCUUGACUGGGAGAGGCUACUGAAAAUAAUCGGCAAGAAAUGAAAAAAGUGAUAAAAAAUCGAAACGACGAGAUAAAUUACGGUUUGGAGAGGGUUUAAGCAAGCAUCCACUUUUACUGCUUGUGGAAAGCUGGAUUAGUUGCAUUUUCAUUUACAACCUUUCGAGUUGCUGCUCGUGAGCUUCUUUCGCUGACAUCCGAUUUCGUCGAUCGCAUGCUCGCAUGUCGAUCGUGUAUCCCGGUGCAGUAUUCGCAGUAUUCAAUAGACUCAAUGAUGCUAGAUUAGAUGACAUGUUUUCAAUUUGAAGACAUCUAAUUAGGUGUGACUGAAAAGUGAAGACCGUGAAGACAUCCUGGUGACCUGGUGGUAACCUUUUUUUUGCUCACCAUCUUCCGGUUGGCCGUAUUAAUUUUUUGAACCAAGGGACAUUUUAAAAAUAAGCCAUUUGUUAAAAAUUUGCCAUUUGUAAAAAAAAUGACCUGGCAUCUCUGCGUCACAUUUUCAACAUCGAUUUCCGACAGUCGACUAACGUUUUUAUUCACUUCAGAAAUAUUACCUGUCGUUGCUGUUCAUAUUUAACCCGUACCUAUACAAAUUAGCAUAUUCAGGGUGUUUAGCUCCAUAUUUUUAAUCAUGUUACCAAGCUUAUAGCCGAAAUCUGGACGGUACGAAACUAUAAUGGCGAAUACAAAUUCAACUAUUCACAAUUUUCAAUGCAUGUCAAUGAAAUUAGUGCGUGGAAACGUUAUAAUUGAUACAAUGUAGAGAUAUUGCAACUAUAAUAACAAUAA